GGUACACAAAUUGAUACACUGGUUCUUUGGAAAUUGAAGCAUGAAUAUGAAAUGAGGAGUUGAAGUUAUGAAUUUAUCUUAGUUAUAUUCUGAAUUUUAGUUAUAUGUGUACAUUAUUUAGCUUCCUUUAAUUAGAAUCAUGUAGUAGUUUGAUAUAUAAUGAAACAUCUAACAGUAGCUUAGUGGAUGAACUGUCUAU
rnacentral:lncRNA from 1 species